ACGCUGGCGGCGCGCCUAACACAUGCAAGUCGAACGGAGAUCAUUUGGUAGAAGUUUCGGAUGGACACCGAGUGAUCUUAGUGGCGAACGGGUGAGUAACGCGUGAGCAAUCUGGCCUCAGAGUGGGGGACAACAGUUGGAAACGACUGCUAAUACCGCAUAAGCCCACAGCACCGCAUGGUGCAGGGGGAAAAGAUUUAUUGCUUUGAGAUGAGCUCGCGUCCAAUUAGUUAGUUGGCGGGGUAACGGCCCACCAAGACGACGAUGGGUAGGGGUUCUGAGAGGAAGGUCCCCCACAUUGGAACUGAGACACGGUCCAAACUCCUACGGGAGGCAGCAGUGAGGAAUAUUGGUCAAUGGGCGGAAGCCUGAACCAGCCAAGUAGCGUGCAGGAAGACGGCCCUAUGGGUUGUAAACCUCUUUUGCCGGGGAGCAACGCUGCGGACGAGUCCGCAGGUGAGAGUACCCGGAGAAAAAGCAUCGGCUAACUCCGUG
rnacentral:rRNA from 1 species